AGUGAACGCUGGCGGUAGGCCUAACACAUGCAAGUCGAACGGCAGCACAGUAAGAGCUUGCUCUUACGGGUGGCGAGUGGCGGACGGGUGAGGAAUACAUCGGAAUCUACUUUUUCGUGGGGGAUAACGUAGGGAAACUUACGCUAAUACCGCAUACGACAUACGGGUGAAAGCAGGGGAUCUUCGGACCUUGCGCGAUUGAAUGAGCCGAUGUCGGAUUAGAUAGUUGGCGGGGUAAAGGCCCACCAAGGCGACGAUCCGUAGCUGGUCUGAGAGGAUGAUCAGCCACACUGGAACUGAGACACGGUCCAGACUCCUACGGGAGGCAGCAGUGGGGAAUAUUGGACAAUGGGCGCAAGCCUGAUCCAGCCAUACCGCGUGGGUGAAGAAGGCCUUCGGGUUGUAAAGCCCUUUUGUUGGGAAAGAAAAGCAGCAGGUUAAUACCCCGCUGUUCUGACGGUACCCAAAGAAUAAGCACCGGCUAACUUCGUG
rnacentral:rRNA from 1 species